UAGUUAUAAUAAUAAAGAUAUAAGUAUAUUGAAUUAUAGGUUUGAACAAUUAAUAGGUAGAUUUAAGAUUGUUGAAUUGUAGGUUAGUGUUUUAUGAAAUUUAUUUAGUAAGUUUUUAAGUGAUUUUGUUUUAUGUUCAAUAUAUGAGUUUUUUAAUGUUUUCAAGUGAUUUAGUUUCAUGUUUAAUAUUUCUAAUUAAUAGGUUAGUGUUUUUUUUAAUUUAUUUAGUAAGAUUUCGAAUGAUUUAGUUUUAUGUUCAAUAUAUAUGAGUUUUUUAUUGUUGUCUAAUUAAUAGGUUAGUGUUUUAUGAAAUUCAUUUAGUAAGUUUCAAGCAAUUAAGUUUUAUGUGCAAUAUAUGAGUUCUUUUAAUGUUGUCAAGUGAUUUCAAUUCAUGCUUAUGUUUCCAAGUGGUUUAGUUUUAUGACCAAUAUAUGAGUUGUAUAAUGUCGUCAAAUGCUAUUGGAGAAUGUACCAUGAUGGGUGUGAUGGGUCUUGGGCUUCAGAAGCUGUUUGGACAAAUAGAUAUGGAUGGAUUGAAACUAGCAUAAUUAGGAGUUAUUUGGAAAUGCCAUUUUGUGAAAAAUUUGGCAUGUUUUUGUUAAUAUUUUUGGUCAUAUUUAUGGAACAAGUACAAGUAGUUGGUGAAUUUCAUUUGCAAAUGUGUUUUGCAAAUUUGUAAUGAAUUUAUGUUGGUGUACUAAGAAUUGAUACAGGAAUCAUUAAUGAAUAUAAGCUGGUUUUGGUUAUUA